CACCUGCAUUUUCAAACUGCAUUAGACGCCGAGGCAGCGGACUACUUUCCUGCGAACUAGCCGCCACACAACCGGGUCAGCCCCGGCUGCGGCAGAGGACGGCGACCAGGGGCGAAGGCCUGCGGCAGUCGCCUCCGCCCGGCUA
rnacentral:ribozyme from 1 species